AGUGAACGCUGGCGGUAGGCCUAACACAUGCAAGUCGAACGGCAGCACAGUAAGAGCUUGCUCUUACGGGUGGCGAGUGGCGGACGGGUGAGGAGUACAUCGGAAUCUACUUUUUCGUGGGGGAUAACGUAGGGAAACUUACGCUAAUACCGCAUACGACCUACGGGUGAAAGCAGGGGAUCUUCGGACCUUGCGCGAUUGAAUGAGCCGAUGUCGGAUUAGCUAGUUGGCGGGGUAAAGGCCCACCAAGGCGACGACCCGUAGCUGGUCUGAGAGGAUGAUCAGCCACACUGGAACUGAGACACGGUCCAGACUCCUACGGGAGGCAGCAGUGGGGAAUAUUGGACAAUGGGCGCAAGCCUGAUCCAGCCAUACCGCGUGGGUGAAGAAGGCCUUCGGGUUGUAAAGCCCUUUUGUUGGGAAAGAAAAGCAGCAGGUUAAUACCCCGCUGUUCUGACGGUACCCAAAGAAUAAGCACCGGCUAACUUCGUG
rnacentral:rRNA from 1 species